rnacentral:rRNA from 1 species
AUGGUCUCGAAGCAGACGAUCCCAUCGAACUCCAGCGCAAACCGCAGCCGCGACGACGGCGCAGGCGGCUGCGAUUUCCCUUUCUCGGGCCGCUGCUCUGCCUCCCGAGGCAGACUGCCCUGCUCCAGCCCGGUCGUCCUCCCGCAGCUUCUUUCCCCGCCAGGAGAGCCGAGCCCAGCUGCCGCCGUUGCCGGCGCCGGGGGCGAUGUCGGGCCGGCGAGGCGCUCACGAUGGACAAGGCCAGCACCUUGUCCAUACUCGAAUGUAGACGGGGAUAAUUCCUGCAGCAGCUCUGGUGGCCGACGCUUUCUUGCACGCAGGCUCUGUGAGUUUUCUUCAACCAAUCGAUGGCUUUACUUGGUUCUGUCUUGCUCCGGUUGGUGA